rnacentral:rRNA from 1 species
CCUACGGGCGGUAGCAGUGGGGGAUAUUGCACAAUGGGGGGAACCCUGAUGCAGCGACGCCGCGUGGGUGAAGAAGCGCCUCGGCGCGUAAAGCCCUGUCAGCAGGGAAGAAAAUGACGGUACCUGAAGAAGAAGCCCCGGCUAACUACGUGCCAGCAGCCGCGGUAAUACGGAGGGGGCAAGCGUUAUCCGGAUUUACUGGGUGGAAAGGGGGCGCAGACGGCGAUGCAAGCCAGGAGCGAAAGCCCGGGGCCCAACCCCGGGACUGCUCUUGGAACUGCGUGGCUGGAGUGCAGGAGGGGCAGGCGGAAUUCCUGGUGGAGCGGUGAAAUGCGUAGAUAUCAGGAGGAACACCGGUGGCGAAGGCGGCCUGCUGGACUGCAACUGACGUUGAGGCCCGAAAGCGUGGGGAGCAAACAGGAUUAGAUACCCGAGUAGUC